AACGAACGCUGGCGGCGCGCCUAAUACAUGCAAGUCGAGCGAGAAGACGUAGCAAUACGUUUGUAAAGCGGCGAACGGGUGAGGAAUACAUGGGUAACCUACCCUCGAGUGGGGAAUAACUAGCCGAAAGGUUAGCUAAUACCGCGUACGCUCCUUGGACUUCGGUUCAGGGAGGAAAGCGAUACCGUGGGUAUCGCGCUCUUGGAUGGGCUCAUGUCCUAUCAGCUUGUUGGUGAGGUAACGGCUCACCAAGGCUUCGACGGGUAGCUGGUCUGGGAGGACGAUCAGCCACACUGGCACUGCGACACGGGCCAGACUCCUACGGGAGGCAGCAGUAAGGAAUAUUGCGCAAUGGGCGAAAGCCUGACGCAGCGACGCCGCAUGGGGGAUGAAGGUCUUCGGAUUGUAAACCCCUUUCGGGAGGGAAGAUGGAAUGGGUAACCCAUUCGGACGGUACCUCCAGAAGCAGCCACGGCUAACUUCGUGCC
rnacentral:rRNA from 1 species